GACGGCGUAGGUAACCAGGCUCUGUAGCCGUGGCAGCGGCCGUGGCAGGCUGGCUGGGUACCGGCUGCCGCUGACCCGGGAGACGCUACAUCAACCGGGGUUGCAGCGCCCUGCCGCCGCGGGGCCGGCAGCUGAACUAUGUGCUCUUCAGGGCGGGCACCGUGUUGCAUUCAUCUUUGUACCCCCAGCAUCUAGCAGUGUUGGCAUGUAGUAGGCACUCAAGAAAUGUGUGUUGAAUGAACGAUGCCUGUGACAAGCAAGCGGACUUUAUUCUUUCCUGACCCUUGCUCCUAUGACACACCUCCUCCUGACUGCCACUGUCACUCCUUCAGAGCAGAACUCCUCUAGGGAACCUGGAUGGGAAACAGCCAUGGCCAAGGACAUCCUGGGUGAAGCAGGGCUGCACUUUGAUGAACUGAACAAGCUGAGGGUGUUGGACCCAGAGGUUACCCAGCAGACCAUAGAGCUGAAGGAAGAGUGCAAAGACUUUGUGGACAGUGAGUAUUGGGGAGAUACAGUGCCACUCAGCUUUGAGCUGCCAUUCCAACUGUACCCCAGGCUCAUCUUGGCCCUGCCACAGUGGAGCUGCUGGCUCCCUGGAGGUUGAAUCUGGCAUCUGUGAGUUCCCACGUGCCACCCUUUUCUGUCUGCCCUCUUGUGCUCUCAUGUGUCCCCAACAGAGCACCAGUCAAACCAAACACUGGGAUGGGGAGGGGAGGGUGUUUUUUAGAUAUGCCAUCUUUCAUUUCUUGCUCUUAGAAACCUUAAACUUUCUGGGAACACAAUCAUGGCUUGGGGGUGGGAAAUAGAAUUAUGUACUCAUGAUUUGAUUUCUUCAGAGAAAGUCUUCUCAGUGGCAGGUUCUCUGUUAUUUGGAGUUAGAAGUGAUAGGUGAAGUUUCUAGAAGCAGCUCAACAGACUUACUGAAGUAAUCUUUUGGCUAGAAAUCUUCAGG
rnacentral:sRNA from 1 species